rnacentral:lncRNA from 1 species
CGAAAGUCUUCAAGCUGUGGGAGUGCAAAGAGCAAGAGAAAAUUGCUAAAGCAAGCACCUUGAUGGCAAUAGCUUUGUUCCUGUCAUCCGCCAGCUCCCUUACUGCGCCUUCAGUCAAGCCGUUUACAACAGCGACAACAUGCAAUAUCAACGGUGAAGCUGCAUGCUUCCCUCCAUCCACGGAUGAUGCAGUGAUUACAAGUCACGGGUUCCUGACGUCAACAGAUUCAACUCCUAUAAAGACAGCACCGCACGAUGGACUUGCCAGUGGGCACGACGAAAGCGCAGGGCGCACAUCACUGACUAUGCGUCUUGUUCUUCUUGUACAGACGGGAUCGCAUGGUGCUUCAAGGUAGGGACACAGCAAAGGAAAAAAACAUCAUGCUUCUUCAUGCAGCAUUCUUGAGUCAGCAGUGGCAGCGGAGUUCUGUUAGUUCGGGGGUGAAAGGAAAAAAAAAAAGAAUCUGUGGACACCAACUUCUGCAAGCUGAUGUUGAGGGCCCGAUGACUGUUUGCAAAAUUCAUCCACUUAGGCAGCCUGAUCACAAGUUGCAAUAAAGCUGUGCAAGUUUUACAAAGUUGCUCCACUUAUUUGCAUGCAAAGGCCAUUAUGGGCCUAGAACAAGCAUAACUAAUAACAUCCAUUUUAUGUCCAGAGCCUGGGAUAUAACCUCCAUCCCGCAUCCAAAUAACAUCUGAAAAAGACCCCGCCGGGACUUCCGUGGGACAUCCUUUGGUGUUUCACAAGGGAGGUUUUCUGGAUUAGCAUAUGACAUUUUAGGAACAUCCCUGGGAUCUUCGCAACAUCCAGGACAACCACUGAACGUCCUUAGUAUGUCUGUGUGUCGUCUGGGAUAUCCA